UAACAAGAAUAUUUGUGGAUAGUUGAGUAUUUUUUCUGAGUUUUUCAUCAAUAAGUUGUACUUUUAAAUAAUUUUCUUAAAAAUUGCUAUUUUUGAAAAGUUUUCAUUUUUAGAGAAAUUUUAUAGAUUUGAGUUUGUGAUUUAGAAAUUAGGAUAAUAAGAAUAUUGUGGAAAAUUGAGUAUUAUUUAAGACUUUUUCAUGAAUAGGUUGUAUUUUUAAAUAAUUUUUUUAAAAACUGCUAUUUUUGGAAAGUUUUCAUUUUUUUGAGAAAUAUUGUGGAUUUGGGUUUGUGAUUUACAAAUUCGGUAAAAAGAAUAUUUGUGGAUAAAUGAGUAUUAUUUCCGAGUUUUGCAUCAAUAAGUUGUAUUUUUAAACAAUUUUCUUAAAACUUGCUAUUUUUGGAAAGUUUUCAUUUUUUAGAGAAAUUUUAUAGAUUUGUGUUUGUGAUUUAGAAAUUAGGAUAACAAGAAUAUUUGUGAAUAGUUGAAUAUUCUUUCAAAGUUUUUCAUGAAUCGGUUGUUCAACAAGUUGUAUUUUUAAAUAAUUUUCUUAAAAACUGCUAUUUUUGGAAAGUUUUCAUUUGUUUGAGAAAUAUUGUAGAUUUGGGUUUGUG
rnacentral:lncRNA from 1 species